UAAGUGUUGCUCUUUGUUGAUCCUGGU
rnacentral:piRNA from 1 species